AACGCACGAGACCUGCGGACCUGCGGAAGGAUCAUUAAUGAGAAGCUGCCCCUCGUGGGUAGACCUCCCACCCUCUGUGAACUUACCUUUGUUGCUUUGGCAGGCCCGUCCUCUGGACCGCCGGCUUCGGCAGGCCCGUGCCUGCCAGAGGAUUCCAAACCCUGUCUGUCAGUGUUGUCUGAGUCUAUAUGAAAUCGUUAAAACUUUCAACAACGGAUCUCUAGAUCGGAAGAGCACACG
rnacentral:misc_RNA from 1 species